rnacentral:rRNA from 1 species
GACGAACGCUGGCGGCGUGCUUAACACAUGCAAGUCGAACGGAAAGGCCCUGCUUUUGUGGGGUGCUCGAGUGGCGAACGGGUGAGUAACACGUGAGUAACCUGCCCUUGACUUUGGGAUAACUUCAGGAAACUGGGGCUAAUACCGGAUAGGAGCUCCUGCUGCAUGGUGGGGGUUGGAAAGUUUCGGCGGUUGGGGAUGGACUCGCGGCUUAUCAGCUUGUUGGUGGGGUAGUGGCUUACCAAGGCUUUGACGGGUAGCCGGCCUGAGAGGGUGACCGGCCACAUUGGGACUGAGAUACGGCCCAGACUCCUACGGGAGGCAGCAGUGGGGUAUAUUGCACAAUGGGCGGAAGCCUGAUGCAGCAACGCCGCGUGCGGGAUGACGGCCUUCGGGUUGUAAACCGCUUUCGCCUGUGACGAAGCGUGAGUGACGGUAAUGGGUAAAGAAGCACCGGCUAACUACGU